UACGUAGGGUGCGAGCGUUGUCCGGAAUUAUUGGGCGUAAAGGGCUCGUAGGCGGUUUGUCACGUCGGGAGUGAAAACUCGGGGCUUAACCCCGAGCCUGCUUCCGAUACGGGCAGACUAGAGGUAUGCAGGGGAGAACGGAAUUCCUGGUGUAGCGGUGAAAUGCGUAGAGAUGCGGAGGAACACCGAUGGCGAAGGCAGCCCCCUGGGCCAACACUGACGCUCAGGCACGAAAGCGUGGGGAGCAAACAGG
rnacentral:rRNA from 1 species